GAAAUUCCUUAAAAAAUAAUGCUCAUUUUGAUACGAAAUCAUGCUUGAAACAAUGCUACAAAAAGUAUGAGAGAAAAAAGGAAAAAAUGGGGCAGCAAAAGAGCAGGAGACUAGCACAACAACAUUAGAAACUUUUGAGUUGAGGCACCUCAAGUUAAACCUUCAUUGAUAUAACCUUCCUUGCGACCUUCAAACCCUGGCCUCGUGAGCUUUCUCUCUCUUCUCAAUCCUCCGCAUCUUCUUCUGCUCAAUUCUGCCAGC
rnacentral:lncRNA from 1 species